CUUCUUGAGUUUUUUUUUUUGGAGGAAAAUUCACAUAGAGCAUUCUGGCAGCUUCUAGUUCUGAGAUGAGGUAUAUGAGCAAAAGGAGGCAGUUCUUCUAUAUGAGAAGGUGCUUGGUCAUAUCCCCAGAGGUCAGUGAAAGAUAUGGGCAGUUCAUCUCCCCUAGUAGCCCACUCGCCUUAAGCUGGAAUUCUUCAGCCUCACUUGGACUGUUAGUUGCUUGAACAUUUUCCUCUAGUUUAGAGAGCACUCUUAAUUCAGAUACCAGCCAAGCACAGAGUUUGGUAAAUUCGGGGGAACUGGCUCCAGCAGAGACUGCUUGAGACAGUGAGCCAUCAUCCAACAAUGAUCUUUCCAAUUUCAUUGCUUUAAAUGUUGUAUGCCCUCCUGAUUCAAUUUGGGUAUGUCAUAUGUCUCUAGAAAUUGGUUGAUAUCAUAGAGAUUUUCUAUUUUGGAGUAUAAAUUUUCAAAAUAGUUUAUGAUUAUCAUCUGUUUUCAGCAGUGUUUCUGGUGGUAUUUCCUUUUCAUCAGAAAUUUUAAUAAUUUGGGUUUCUCCCCUUUUUCUUUGGGUUAGCUUGGCUAAAUGUUUACUAAUUUUGUUUAUUUUUUCAAAGAACCAGUUUUUGUUUUGUUGAUUUUUUAGACUUUCAUUUAAUGUUCAUUAGUAACCUCAUGAGGGAGGUUUUAUUUGACCACCUUCAUAGAUAUGAAAGCCAGGGACUAUAGAAGUAAAGCAUUUGCCUAAAUUAAAAUUAGUAGUACUGAGAUUUUAACUCCAAGAAAUUCUUGACUCCUUGCUUACAAUGGAUUACUCUAAAAAUGUGAGUAAUUAGAAAAAAAUAUCAAUUCUGCAUUAUUUACACAAAU
rnacentral:lncRNA from 1 species